rnacentral:rRNA from 1 species
UACGUAGGUGGCAAGCGUUGUCCGGAAUUAUUGGGCGUAAAGCGCGCGCAGGUGGUUUCUUAAGUCUGAUGUGAAAGCCCACGGCUCAACCGUGGAGGGUCAUUGGAAACUGGGGAACUUGAGUGCAGAAGAGGAAAGUGGAAUUCCAAGUGUAGCGGUGAAAUGCGUAGAGAUUUGGAGGAACACCAGUGGCGAAGGCGACUUUCUGGUCUGUAACUGACACUGAGGCACGAAGGCCAGGGGAGCAAACGGG